AGCUACUGGAAAUUGCUAGAUAUCACAUUAGAGGAAAAUUGGAUGACUGGACAGGUAUAUUUCACACCAAGUUCAUUACAAGAAGAACGAAUUAUUGAUUGAGGAGCUGUCUCUUACAGAAGCGACUUUACAUAAGUAAUGCCAAGAUAGCAAGGAAACCUAUACGUUGUUUUCUGGAUCCCAACUCUACGAGAGACCCGUUGAAUAUCCAAUAUUUGGUGUCGAU